rnacentral:tRNA from 1 species
GCGGGAGUGCUGGAAUAGGCAGACAGGCAUGUUUGAGGGGCAUGUGAGAAUUAUCUCGUAUGGGUUCAAGUCCCAUCUCCCGCACCA